AAUCCAUAGGUUAAUGAGGCGAACCGGGGGAACUGAAACAUCUAAGUACCCCGAGGAAAAGAAAUCAACCGAGAUUCCCCCAGUAGCGGCGAGCGAACGGGGAGGAGCCCAGAGCCUGAAUCAGCAUGUGUGUUAGUGGAAGCGUCUGGAAAGGCGCGCGAUACAGGGUGACAGCCCCGUACACAAAAGCGCAUGUGCUGUGAGCUCGAUGAGUAGGGCGGGACACGUGGUAUCCUGUCUGAAUAUGGGGGGACCAUCCUCCAAGGCUAAAUACUCCUGACUGACCGAUAGUGAACCAGUACCGUGAGGGAAAGGCGAAAAGAACCCCGGCGAGGGGAGUGAAAAAGAACCUGAAACCGUGUACGUACAAGCAGUGGGAGCCCCACCACUAAGCCAGUGGUGAACUCCACAUACGCAUCCUUUGCUGAGGAUACGGUUAACGGAGCGAAAGCGACGUUCAACCGCAAAAGAAGCAGAGGGGGCUUAGUGGUGGGGUGACUGCGUACCUUUUGUAUAAUGGGUCAGCGACUUAUAUUCUGUAGCAAGGUUAACCGUAUAGGGGAGCCGGAGGGAAACCGAGUCUUAAC
rnacentral:rRNA from 1 species